AACGAACGCUGGCGGCAUGCCUAACACAUGCAAGUCGAACGCGUGUAGCAAUACACGAGUGGCGCACGGGUGAGUAACGCGUGGGAACCUGCCCAGUGGUAGGGAAUAACUGCGGGAAACUGCAGCUAAUACCCUAUACGCCCUACGGGGGAAAGUUUUUCGCCAUUGGAGGGGCCCGCGUCGGAUUAGCUAGUUGGUGAGGUAAGAGCUUACCAAGGCGACGAUCCGUAGCUGGUCUGAGAGGAUGAUCAGCCACACUGGGACUGAGACACGGCCCAGACUCCUACGGGAGGCAGCAGUAGGGAAUCUUGCGCAAUGGGCGAAAGCCUGACGCAGCCAUGCCGCGUGUAUGAUGAAGGUCUUAGGAUUGUAAAAUACUUUCACCGGGGAAGAUAAUGACGGUACCCGGAGAAGAAGCCCCGGCUAACUUCGUGCCAGCCGCCGCCGUAAUAC
rnacentral:rRNA from 1 species